AGUGAACGCUGGCGGUAGGCCUAACACAUGCAAGUCGAACGGCAGCACAGUAAGAGCUUGCUCUUACGGGUGGCGAGUGGCGGACGGGUGAGGAAUACAUCGGAAUCUACUUUUUCGUGGGGGUUAACGUAGGGAAACUUACGCUAAUACCGCAUACGACCUACGGGUGAAAGCAGGGGAUCUUCGGACCUUGCGGGAUUGGAUGAGCCGCUGUGGGGUUGGUUAGUUGGGGGGGUUAAGGCCCAGCAAGGCGACGAUCCGCAGCUGGACUGAGUGGAUGGUCGGCCGCACUGGAGCGUGAACACGGUCCAUGCGCCUACGGUAGGCAGCAGUGGGGAAUGUUGGACAAUGGGCGCAAGCCUGGUCCAGCCAUACCGCGUGUGUGAAGGAGGCCUUCGGUUUGUAAAGCCCUUUUUUUGGGAGAGAAAAGCAUCAGGUUAAUACCCCGCUGUUCUGACGGUACCCAAUGAAUAAGCACCGGCUAACUUCGUG
rnacentral:rRNA from 1 species